AGAGCUGGACGGGCACUGGGCGACUCUGUGCCUCGCUGAGGAAAAAUAACUAAACAUGGGCAAAGGAGAUCCUAAGAACCCGAGAGGCAAAAUGUCAUUAUACGCAUUCUUUGUGCAAACUUGCCGGGAGGAGCACAAGAAGAAGCACCCAGAUGCUUCAGUCAACUUCUCAGAGUUUUCUAAGAAGUGCUCAGAGAGGUGGAAGACCAUGUCUGCUAAAGAGAAAGGAAAAUUUGAAGAUAUGGCAAAGGCGGACAAGGCCGUUAUGAAAGAGAAAUGAAAACCUAUAUCCCUCCUAAAGGGGAAACAAAAAAGAAGUUCAAGGAUCCCAAUGCACCCAAGAGGCCUCCUUCGGCCUUUUUCUUGUUCUGUUCUGAGUAUUGCCCUAAAAUCAAAGGAGAACAUCCUGGCCUAUCCAUUGGUGAUGUUGCAAAGAAACUGGGAGAGAUGUGGAAUAACACUGUGUUUGUCAGCACAGAAAUAGGGGAGGAGGGUGAGCUCAUCCUAGAAACUGAAAGGCAGAUGGUGAAGAAUGAGGAGUGGUCCUGUGCGUCUGCGCUCUGGCUAAGAAGUACAGACGUAGAGCCGCAGCGUGAGGGUUUGCACGCAGCGGUGGGAGUGAGUUAG